CCUACGGGGGGCAGCAGUGGGGAAUAUUGGACAAUGGGGGGAACCCUGAUCCAGCGACGCCGCGUGAGUGAAGAAGUAUUUCGGUAUGUAAAGCUCUAUCAGCAGGGAAGAAAAUGACGGUACCUGACUAAGAAGCCCCGGCUAACUACGUGCCAGCAGCCGCGGUAAUACGUAGGGGGCAAGCGUUAUCCGGAUUUACUGGGUGUAAAGGGAGCGUAGACGGUGCAGCAAGUCUGAUGUGAAAGGUCGGGGCCCAACCCCGGGACUGCAUUGGAAACUGUUGAACGGGAGUACAGGAGAGGUAAGCGGAAUGCCUAGUGUAGCGGUGAAAGGCGUAGAUAGUAGGAGGAACACCAGUGGCGAAGGCGGAUUACUGGACUGUAACUGACGUUGAGGCUCGAAAGCGUGGGGAGCGAACAGGAUUAGAUACCCUGGUAGUC
rnacentral:rRNA from 1 species